rnacentral:pre_miRNA from 1 species
CGGUCUCAGCGUCUGUGGUGCGCUGAAUUCGUAUCACAGACCGCUUGGAUCACA